rnacentral:rRNA from 1 species
GAUCUACCCUUGGUCAGGUUGAAGUUCAGGUAACACUGAAUGGAGGACCGAACCGACUUACGUUGAAAAGUGAGCGGAUGAACUGAGGGUAGCGGAGAAAUUCCAAUCGAACCUGGAGAUAGCUGGUUCUCUCCGAAAUAGCUUUAGGGCUAGCCUCAAGUGAUGAUUAUUGGAGGUAGAGCACUGUUUGGACGAGGGGCCCCUCUCGGGUUACCGAAUUCAGACAAACUCCGAAUGCCAAUUAAUUUAACUUGGGAGUCAGAACAUGGGUGAUAAGGUCCGUGUUCGAAAGGGAAACAGCCCAGACCACCAGCUAAGGUCCCAAAAUAUAUGUUAAGUGGAAAAGGAUGUGGCGUUGCCCAGACAACUAGGAUGUUGGCUUAGAAGCAGCCAUCAUUUAAAGAGUGCGUAAUAGCUCACUAGUCGAGUGACACUGCGCCGAAAAUGUACCGGGGCUAAACAUAUUACCGAAGCUGUGGAUUGUCCUUUGGACAAUGGUAGGAGAGCGUUCUAAGGGCGUUGAAGCAUGAUCGUAAGGACAUGUGGAGCGCUUAGAAGUGAGAAUGCCGGUGUGAGUAGCGAAAGACGGGUGAGAAUCCCGUCCACCGAUUGACUAAGGUUUCCAGAGGAAGGCUCGUCCGCUCUGGGUUAGUCGGGUCCUAAGCUGAGGCCGACAGGCGUAGGCGAUGGAUAACAGGUUGAUAUUCCUGUACCACCUAUAAUCGUUUUAAUCGAUGGGGGGACGCAGUAGGAUAGGCGAAGCGUGCGAUUGGAUUGCACGUCUAAGCAGUAAGGCUGAGUAUUAGGCAAAUCCGGUACUCGUUAAGGCUGAGCUGUGAUGGGGAGAAGACAUUGUGUCUUCGAGUCGUUGAUUUCACACUGCCGAGAAAAGCCUCUAGAUAGAAAAUAGGUGCCCGUACCGCAAACCGACACAGGUAGUCAAGAUGAGAAUUCUAAGGUGAGCGAGCGAACUCUCGUUAAGGAACUCGGCAAAAUGACCCCGUAACUUCGGGAGAAGGGGUGCUCUUUAGGGUUAACGCCCAGAAGAGCCGCAGUGAAUAGGCCCAAGCGACUGUUUAUCAAAAACACAGGUCUCUGCUAAACCGUAAGGUGAUGUAUAGGGGCUGACGCCUGCCCGGUGCUGGAAGGUUAAGAGGAGUGGUUAGCUUCUGCGAAGCUACGAAUCGAAGCCCCAGUAAACGGCGGCCGUAACUAUAACGGUCCUAAGGUAGCGAAAUUCCUUGUCGGGUAAGUUCCGACCCGCACGAAAGGCGUAACGAUUUGGGCACUGUCUCAACGAGAGACUCGGUGAAAUCAUAGUACCUGUGAAGAUGCAGGUUACCCGCGACAGGACGGAAAGACCCCGUGGAGCUUUACUGUAGCCUGAUAUUGAAAUUCGGCACAGCUUGUACAGGAUAGGUAGGAGCCUUUGAAACGUGAGCGCUAGCUUACGUGGAGGCGCUGGUGGGAUACUACCCUAGCUGUGUUGGCUUUCUAACCCGCACCACUUAUCGUGGUGGGAGACAGUGUCAGGCGGGCAGUUUGACUGGGGCGGUCGCCUCCUAAAAGGUAACGGAGGCGCUCAAAGGUUCCCUCAGAAUGGUUGGAAAUCAUUCAUAGAGUGUAAAGGCAUAAGGGAGCUUGACUGCGAGACCUACAAGUCGAGCAGGGUCGAAAGACGGACUUAGUGAUCCGGUGGUUCCGCAUGGAAGGGCCAUCGCUCAACGGAUAAAAGCUACCCCGGGGAUAACAGGCUUAUCUCCCCCAAGAGUUCACAUCGACGGGGAGGUUUGGCACCUCGAUGUCGGCUCAUCGCAUCCUGGGGCUGUAGUCGGUCCCAAGGGUUGGGCUGUUCGCCCAUUAAAGCGGUACGCGAGCUGGGUUCAGAACGUCGUGAGACAGUUCGGUCCCUAUCCGUCGUGGGCGUAGGAAAUUUGAGAGGAGCUGUCCUUAGUACGAGAGGACCGGGAUGGACAUACCUCUGGUGUACCAGUUGUCGUGCCAACGGCAUAGCUGGGUAGCUAUGUGUGGACGGGAUAAGUGCUGAAAGCAUCUAAGCAUGAAGCCCCCCUCAA